rnacentral:misc_RNA from 1 species
CUCAACCGCAAGGAGGGGGAUGCCUAAGGCAGGGCUAGUGACUGGGGUGAAGUCGUAACAAGGUAGCCGUACCGGAAGGUGUGGCUGGAUCACCUCCUUAAAGGGAGACCUAAUUCAGGUAGGAGACGAAAAAAAAGUAGUCCCUACCAAGAAUCAAUCCCAAAAGGUCGGAGCGAGGCGAAAUUGGCUUUCAAACUAGGUUCUGGGUUCACACAAGACCUGAAUCAGGAACAAGGGCUAUUAGCUCAGGUGGUUAGAGCGCACCCCUGAUAAGGGUGAGGUCCCUGGUUCGAGUCCAGGAUGGCCCACCUGUACAGGUGGCAAAAAGAAAGAAAAGAAGCGAGGAAUCAGCACCUUAUCUUACUUAUAUAGUAAGAGAGAAUGCUGGCUCUGAGUUCAGAGUCCAGAGGAACCUUGAAAACUGCAUAGAGCUAGGUGAAAAAGCCAAAAAAGAAGACCGCAAGGUCAAGCUAAUAAGGGCUAACGGUG